rnacentral:rRNA from 1 species
UACGAAGGGUGCAAGCGUUACUCGGAAUUACUGGGCGUAAAGCGUGCGUAGGUGGUUCGUUAAGUCUGUCGUGAAAGCCCCGGGCUCAACCUGGGAAUGGCGAUGGAUACUGGCGGGCUAGAGUGCGGUAGAGGAGAGUGGAAUUCCCCGGUGUAGCAGUGAAAUGCGUAGAGAUCGGGAGGAACAUCAGUUGCGAAGGCGGCUCUCUGGACCAGCACUGACACUGAGGCACGAAAGCGUGGGGGAGCAAACAGG